AAUGGACGAAAGCCUGACGGAGCAAUACCGCGUGAGGGACGACGGCUUUUGGGUUGUAAACCUCUUUUCCCUGGGAAGAAGAUCAGACGGUACCAGGGGAAUCAGCAUCGGCUAACUUCGUGCCAGCAGCCGCGGUAAUACGAGGGAUGCAAGCGUUAUCCGGAAUUAUUGGGCGUAAAGCGUCCGCAGGUGGCUCUGUAAGUCUGUCGUUAAAGAAUGGAGCUUAACUCCAUACAGGCGAUGGAAACUACAAGGCUAGAGUUUGGUAGGGGUCACGGGAAUUCCUAGUGUAGCGGUGAAAUGCGUAGAUAUUAGGAAGAACACCAGCGGCGAAAGCGCGUGACUGGGCCAGUACUGACACUCAUGGACGAAAGCUAGGGGAGCG
rnacentral:rRNA from 1 species